rnacentral:sRNA from 1 species
UCUGGGCAUGGUGGUUCACUUCUGUAAUCCCAGCAUCUUGGGAGGUUGAGGCAGGAGGAUCACAAGUUUGAGGCCAGCCUCGAAAUUUAGUGAGAUCUUAUCUUAA